UCAAAAAUACAUAAUAUAUAAGUUUGAUCAUUGCUUUUUGGACAGGCUAUUUAUCUAGAAGAAGUUUUAAGAGAAGGCUUUUCACAUCCUGCUGUCAAUGGGAUAAUACUUUGGACAGCCCUCCGCCGAAACAGUUGUUAUCAAAUGUGCCUAACUGAUAAUGACUUCAAUAAUCUGCGGGCUGGUGACACCGUCGACAAGCUCCUAAAAGAGUGGCUGAUAAGUGUGUUUUCA
rnacentral:lncRNA from 1 species